rnacentral:rRNA from 1 species
UACGUAGGGUGCAAGCGUUGUCCGGAAUUAUUGGGCGUAAAGAGCUCGUAGGCGGUCUGUCGCGUCGGCUGUGAAAACCCGGAGCUCAACUCCGGGCCUGCAGUCGAUACGGGCAGACUGGAGUUCGGCAGGGGAGACUGGAAUUCCUGGUGUAGCGGUGAAAUUCGUAGAUAUCAAGCGGAACACCGGUGGCGAAGGCGGCCUUCUGGACAGUGACUGACGCUGGAGACGCGAAAGCGUGGGGAGCAAACAGG